GACGAACGCUGGCGGCGUGCUUAACACAUGCAAGUCGAACGGAAAGGCCCUGCUUUUGUGGGGUGCUCGAGUGGCGAACGGGUGAGUAACACGUGAGUAACCUGCCCUUGACUUUGGGAUAACUUCAGGAAACUGGGGCUAAUACCAGAUAGGAGCUCCUGCUGCAUGGUGGGGGUUGGAAAGUUUCGGCGGUUGGGGAUGGACUCGCGGCUUAUCAGCUUGUUGGUGGGGUAGUGGCUUACCAAGGCUUUGACGGGUAGCCGGCCUGAGAGGGUGACCGGCCACAUUGGGACUGAGAUACGGCCCAGACUCCUACGGGAGGCAGCAGUGGGGAAUAUUGCACAAUGGGCGGAAGCCUGAUGCAGCAACGCCGCGUGCGGGAUGACGGCCUUCGGGUUGUAAACCGCUUUCGCCUGUGACGAAGCGCGAGUGACGGUAAUGGGUAAAGAAGCACCGGCUAACUACGUG
rnacentral:rRNA from 1 species